UGUAAUACACAAAACAUGCAGUUGAAAUGCUAAGGCUUGGAAAAUAGGCCCAAACCAGAGUUGACCUAUAGAUGAAUCCUCUAUAUUUUAUAACUUAUAACCAUUGUGCUAGUAGUAGGUAUUGUACUAGGUUAUAACAAACCACCUAUACUGAUGUAAAAAGUGCUAAAAUGUUGAAGUAUUGAAGCUUGAGCAACAGGCUCUGAGCCAAAGCUGCUAACUUAGUAUGGAGUCAUUAACAAAAUAUGUAUGUUCAUUAAUGAAAGAUGUAGCUUAGAU